UACACAAUAAUAGGUUUGGCAUAGCAGUG
rnacentral:piRNA from 1 species